GGAUGCCGUCUUAAAAUCGACGUCAGUGCUUCCGGAAAGAGAAGCUCGGAGCAUCAUGGUCCAGAUCUUCUCCGGCCUCGUAUACUUGAACAGAAGAUCGCAGCGCGUCAUCCACUACGAUCUCAAGCCUGGGAACGUCCUCUUUGACGAAGCUGGCGCGGCCAAACUCACAGACUUCGGACUAAGCAAAAUAGUGGAAGACGAGGUUGGCUCGCAGGGAAUGGAACUCACGUCUCAGGGCGCAGGGACAUACUGGUAAAACUUUCCUUCCAUCGUCGAAACAAUACAAGCUAGAGAGCCAUGACUUUGUUACAGGUAUCUUCCGCCCGAGUGUUUUGAUGUGAACAAGACACCACUUAUAUCGUCAAAGGUGCGUUGUUCUCUCUUUUAUUUCUUCAGUGGAUAGAUAUUGAAACUACUGCGUCCAGGUUGAUGUGUGGUCGGCCGGAGUGCUCUUCUAUCAAAUGCUAUUUGGGAAGAGGCCGUUCGGGCAUGACCAAAGCCAGGAGAGGAUUCUACGCGAGGAUACAAUCACCAAGGCGAGGAAAGUGGAGUUUCCAACGCGUCCUAGUGUCUCCGCUGAUGCCAAGGUAAUGCGCUUCGUUUCCACUGGCGCUCCAUUCUAUUUCUUGUGCAGGACUUUAUCCGGAGGUGCCUAUCAUACGAUCAAAUGGACAGGCCUGAUGUCUUGACCGCAGCACAAGAUCCUUACUUGUCCUAUGUCAAACGCAAACCUUGAGAACGAAGGAAUGACCGUGUAAGAAAAAACCAGAGCUUACCAUUAUCAACACUUAGAAACAAGCCUUCGAUUCCAAAUUGGUGUUCACGGCUCCAGUGCAGCCAAAACAAUACGCGCUGCCGUCCGGCUUGGACUCUGUAACGCUUCUGGCGGUUGAAUCAUGUGUAGCACCGACUCGGCGGCUUUAGCUUGAUCUUCUCUGGCAGCCACAGGGUCUUCCAGAAUAUUUCUGUGAAGAUAGACAAAGUUUAAUACCAAAAACUGCGAAAGAGUGAAUUCUUACCCAAGCAAGCAUGCCAGGCGGUCUGGUUUGCAGGAGGAGAAAAGAGCUUCUGGAACAGCAGGCGAGUCCAGCAAAAUGUUUGGCAAAGAAACAUACUUGAGCACUGUCCGCUGCUUGAUGAUCCACUCGGUAAGAAUAUUUGCUCGGUACGCAACCACGCAAGGCACACGACACAUUUGUAGCUGCAUUACUGCCGUACCCGACGUAACCAAGGCAGCAUCACUGGCCUGCGAAAGGAAAAAAAAGCAAAGAGCAUGAGAGUAUGAGAUGGCGACUUCGAAACUUAACUGCGAACGAGUUGUACUUGUCUUCGAGGGAGGCACCCGGGACGACGACUACAGGCAGCCCCCAAUCUCUCACAGCCAUGUCAAUAAUCCCGGUAAGCGUGCGAUUUGGAACGGUUGGUAUAAUAGCAGCCAGGCCAGGAAAGCUUCGAGACAGGUGUUUCAAUGCCGAGCCAUAAAUCGGGAGCAUUUUAUGAAGCUCCUGCGCUCGGCUUCCUGGAAGCACUGUAAUAACAGGUGAUUCUGCAAGAAAAAAGCGAGAAAAUAAGUCCACAAAACCGAAAUAGUUUGAUAAUUUUACCACUUGUAAGGUUAUGAUCUUGCCGGAACUUCUGGCCAUUCCCGUGAAUCAUCCACUUGCUCUGAAUCACGUUAAAAUCCUGCAAAAACGACGUAAGAAACUGGAGUGUUGCUUUGCUAAUCAAGAAGCUAGCCAUACAGCAGAUUUACCAGCCAAGUCAAAUGCGUCGUCCAGCACGGGAUGCCCAACAAACGAGGCAUUUAAGCCGCUCGACUUGCAUAUCCCUUCUUCAAACGGAAGAAUGCAAAGCAAGUGAUCCACAACUUCUGACAAGUUUCGAAGUUUCUCCUCGCCCCCUUUCCAGGCCCAGAAGGACGGGCACACAUAAUGAACACAGAAUGGACCCGGUACCUUCGACUUUGCACAGAAAUCUAAGCAAAGAGCAAGGUGACAUAAGAAAGAAAAAACAAGAGGAAGCGAACUUCACACAAGAAUACAAAAUCAAAGCAUAAUAUCCGUACCUUUGAUUUUUCUUAGAAAGCGAAACGAGAAACCUUUAGAGUCGAUCGUCACAAUGAUAUGUGGAUCAAAUCGGACAGCGGCGUCCACGGCUUGAUGCAACCUCCUCUAACAACAAACAAAGCUUUUGGUAAAAGAGUAAAAGCACCGAAUUGACAGAGCUUACCGAUAACGUUAUCAAGUGCGGCAAAAGCUCCGGUACUCCCAUGACCGCAAGAUCAUCCAUCUCGAAAAUACUCUUCACUCCCUCUCGCUCCAUGCAAGACCUGGAUGAAAAUGACCAAUGCCAGCCAGUUCCCUCGAAUCGAAGAACUUACCCACCGAUGCCAGACAGCCGCAGAGAAGCCGGCCACAAUUCUCGCAUUGCCGCCAAGAGGCGCCCGCCGAUGACAUCACCGGACGGCUCUCCAGCCACGACAAACACACGCACAGGAUCGUCGAUCGUCCUCCUCCCCGGAGAAACCGCAUCGCCAGACAGCCAUCUGCGCCACACGCGCCGCGCCGGGCAAGAGCGCAGUAGCCAUGGCGCCAUAGCCCCGCCCGCUAGAACCCUAAAAUCGAAAACCCAAGCCCUAAAUCUGACCGUUGGAGGCGCGUUAACUACGGUUAGCCAAACAACCACGGCAGUUAAAAUCUGACCUCUUCAAACGUCAAAAUUCACUCACAUGGCACAAAGAUACCUUUGAUGCCGACACUCCACCACCUUUGAUUUUUUGGCAUUGAAGAAAUUCUGCGAGCUAAUUGGCCGCGUUACUCGUUCGCCGGUUUUUUCCAGUUUUCCCGUCCACAUCACCUCCACGUCACCUGACAUACCAUGCCCGCUCACGUGGCAGGGCUCCACUGUGGAAUGGGCUGUUUCUUGGAUUUUAUUCUCGAGCCAUAGAACCUCCAGUGUAUAAAUGCCAUCAUCUCUGGGCGAGCCAAGUAACUACACUCCAGGUACCCUCCCCCAAUUAGCUUAUUAGAUUGACUCUAAACACUUCAUCCUUCCUCCUCGUUCUUCGGCGUGUUCUUGGAAUUUUUUUUCCUGCUGGCCUCGCUCGAUCAGAAAUGAUCCAACAAGAGCAGCAGCACCUUGAUGUCAUCUCCCAGAUCCCUCCAAAUCCUCGCGCGGUGCUGUUCAUCGCCCACGAAGGAAACGGAUCGCCGCUCACGUAUUGGGAGCCGCAGCCGCAGCAGCCGAAUUGCACGGGAGUCCCCGACCACGUCGCCAUUGUCAAGCACGCCCUCAGCCGCGGCUACGCCGUCAUCGCCAUCAAGAGCGUCAAGAGCUUCUGGCAGGACUGGCCGCCGCAAGCCUCGCAGGACGCUCACAACGUAGUGUCCGUCCUCGUCUCCUGGACCGCGCAGCACGGCCUGGAGCGCGCGCCGAUCGUCGGUCUCGGCUCCGGCUCCGGCGGCAACUUCCUCUCCAUGCUCGCGCUCACCAUCAAGUUCUCGGCGCUCGUCUUGAUGGUGUCCCCGGGCCUCCACAAGGCGCUGGAGCGAGCGAAGAUGGCCCCGGCUUCAACUUAUCCUCCGGUUCUGUUCGUCCAUAUGCCGAAGGACCAGACCACCGCGUCAAAGAUCCACAGUCACGAGCAGCUGCUGCGAGCAAAAGCCAUACCUGUUGCUCAAGUCUGCUGCGAGGAGUUCCCGAUCGCUCCCUUCUACUUUGCUGCGCACAUCCCCGGCUUUGGAUCCGAUGCCUCCACCAAGCUCCAUGCAGCGAUGCAGGCCGAGGGCGUCAUCGACGGUUUGGGACGUGUUCUAUCGGCUCCCCGGCCUCCGGAUGUCUGCCUCAUGCUCGAGAAGUUUGAUGUUUUGCCACUCCAGAGGGACGACCACAGCUAUGCGAGGCUCCUGGCUGAGCACAUUCACUCGCUGAUGAGAGUCGCGCAAGGCCGGCAUGCUACCACCGGGAGAAAGUGUCCGGAGAUUUUCAACUGGCUCGACAACCAGGUGUGGGGGCAUCCACUUCUUCCAAAUUUUCCACAUCCAAAGCCACCACCAAUUGCCACCUCGCAGCAUCGGCUGCCGUUUUCGAAGUUCCAUCACGGGAACUGAGAGAUCUCUCUCACAAUCACUCUAGAGUGAUUGCCUCUCCACGAUCGAUCCGCGCUCCACGAGGUUCCUGCGCUUGCAAUGUGUUUGUAUUGUAACCGAUUACUGCAAACGGAAACAGUAGUGUCAGUACUAGAGAAGAUUAAAUCUGAUACGCAGAGCUCUUACGUGCAAGAUCCACGACCUGCUUGAGCAUCAGAUGCGAUAUCAUCGGAUGUCAUCCAGUUAUCUAUCCAUAUGUGCUACACUGUGAGGAAAAAUAAAAUCUUUCAGUUCAGUAUCAUUAACAAUGGUCUAAAAGCUCACAGGGAGGAAGAACGCAAGAGAGCAAACAAAUAUUUCUUCUACAAGCACACAGAUUUCUCCUCCUCCUUUGCAUUCAACACAGGACAGUCUAUCUCCGGCAGAAGAAGCAGAUCAAACGCAACGAGAUCAAGCGCGCAGCGCAGCUAUUCCGCUCAAAAUCUAGCGAUGACAAUGGCGUUGGACUAGGAUACCUUUGGGAAUGGCGCCCGCCGCCAUCGCCGGAGGAAGAGCGCGCCGGCGAAGAGAAGGAGAAGCCCUAGAACGUUCUUCCG
rnacentral:lncRNA from 1 species